AUUGAACGCUGGCGGCAGGCCUAACACAUGCAAGUCGAGCGAGCGGCGGACGGGUGAGGAAUGUCUGGGAAACCGCCUGAUGGAGGGGGAUAACUACUGGAAACGGUAGCUAACACCGAAUACCAUCAGAUGUGCCCAGAAGGGAGUAGCUAGUAGGGGGGGUAACGGCACACCUAGGCGACGAUCCCUAGCUGGUCUGAGAGGAUGACCAGCCACACUGGAACUGAGACACGGUCCAGACGCCUACGGGAGGCAGCAGUGGUGAAUAUUGCACAAUGGGCGCAAGCCUGAGGCAGCCAUGCCGCGUGUAUGAAGAAGGCCUUCGGGUUGUAAAGUCCUUUCAGCGGGGAGGCGUUACCCGCAGAAGAAGCACCGGCUAACUCCGUGCCAGCAGCCGCGGUAAUUC
rnacentral:rRNA from 1 species